rnacentral:rRNA from 1 species
CCUACGGGGGGCAGCAGUGGGGAAUAUUGCGCAAUGGGCGAAAGCCUGACGCAGCGACGCCGCGUGAGGGAUGAAGGUCUUCGGAUCGUAAACCUCUGUCAGCAGGGAAGAACGGUCACUUUGCUAAUCAGCAGUGAAUUGACGGUACCUGCAAAGGAAGCACCGGCUAACUCCGUGCCAGCAGCCGCGGUAAUACGGAGGGUGCGAGCGUUAAUCGGAAUUACUGGGCGUAAAGCGCUCGUAGGCGGUAUGUCCAGUCAAGGGUGAAAUCCCCGCGCUCAACGUGGGAACUGCCUUUGAAACUGGGAAACUGGAGUGUGUGAGAGGAUAGUGGAAUUCCAGGUGGAGGAGUGAAAUCCGUAGAUAUCUGGAGGAACAUCAGUGGCGAAGGCGACUAGCUGGAACAUAACUGACGCUGAGGAGCGAAAGCGUGGGUAGCAAACAGGAUUAGAUACCCCAGUAGUC